rnacentral:sRNA from 12 species
CUAGAAGUAUCUUACUAUUAUUAUAACCCAAUAUAAUAUGAAUACUCGUGUAUAGCGUAGCUUUCCUUAAUUAGGAGCAGUGAUAUUAUAUCAUGUAGGCGCAGAGAUGUAAGAACUUCUAA